AUACGGAGGAUCCGAGCGUUAUCCGGAUUUAUUGGGUUUAAAGGGCGCGCAGGCGGCCAUUUAAGUCAGCGGUUAAAUCGUGGGGCUCAACCCCAUUCUGCCGUUGAUACUGGGUGGCUUGAUUGCGGUCGAGGUUGGCGGAAUUCGUUGUGUAGCGGUGAAAUGCAUAGAUAUGACGAAGAACACCGAUUGCGUAGGCAGCUGACCAGACCGCAAGUGACGCUCAUGCACGAAAGUGCGGGGAUCGAACAGGAUUAGAUACCCUGGUAGUCCGCACAGUAAACGAUGAAUACUUGUUUUCGGCGAUAUAAUGUCGGAGGCAAAGCGAAAGCGAUAAGUAUUCCACCUGGGGAGUACGCCGGCAACGGUGAAACUCAAAGGAAUUGACGGGG
rnacentral:rRNA from 1 species